rnacentral:lncRNA from 1 species
GAUUUAUGCCUUUUUAUAAUAAAUUUCAUAAAUGUAUAUGUAUAUGUCAUUAUUUGUAUAGAUCUACUGUCAAAGAACAACAAUCGAUAUUUUCGAUGUGACUUUUUCCAUCAACAUCUCAUUUUAGCUUAUCUAAGAAAUGUAUAUAUAAUGUAAAGGCGCACCUUUUGAAAGUUGAAUGUAAAAUCAAAUUUGGCAUUCCUUAUUUUGUUAACUUGAUUAAUCCAAUUCAGCUAGUUAGCGAGAGAGAGAGAGAGAGAGAGAGAGAGAGAGAGAGAGAGAGAGAGAGAGAGAGAGAGAGAGAGAGAGAGAGAGACAGACAGACAGACAGAGAAAUCUUCUUAUUCUUAUUUGAAUUUUUUUUAUCGUUUUGUUAUCUGAUUAGAAAUAUAAUCUGUGUAUUUGUUUUUUUUUUAGUUUGUCUACUUUGUAAAAUGAAUUAUAUAAUGUAUAAUGUAUACAUAACUCUGAACUGUUACAUGGUUUAAUUAUUUGUAACAAAAUAUUGUAUGGAACCACUUAUAUAUUUUAUUUGUUGUGAUUAGUAUUGAUCAUAUUUUUGUUUUAUUGAUAUUUUGGACCUUUCAUGAGUUAUUGAAGCCUUAUAUGCUUUUAAAAGUUGGUUUUAUGGGGCAAAAUAGAUUACCCUGUAACGAAGGAAAAACAGCAAGGAGUCCGAAGAUCUGACAAAAUUUCAAAACAUGACCUAAGUCCAUCUUUAAAUAAGAGUAGUUUGGAAAAUUUACAGAGAUAACUGUUUUAUAUUGGAAAUCUUUUUCCACCCUGAAAAUGUCAUUUCAAACAGCAAAAAAUACUAUAAGUUAUUUUAAACAGUCAUUUAAGAGGUAUUUUAUCAAAUGUAGCUAUUCAACAUAUAUUUUCUGAAUAUUAUAUUAAAAUGAGCAACUGCUUUAUCAAAAUAGUCAUUUAAUUGCUGUAAAUAGAAUUCUUAAAUAUUGGCCAAUUGAGACAGUUGUUUUGCAAAUUCAUCAAUAAGGCUCAAAUGAAUCUGCAAGAGUACAUCAAUGUCUAUAAUACUUGUCAAAUGUUUAUUUUGCAGAAUUGGAAUAAAAAUGAUAAUGUUGUGGGAUAUUAUAAUUCAAGGGAGAAAAAGAAUGAUGAAGAACGAAAAAUCAUAUUUUCUGCUCUUUGAACGUUUAAUUUCCCAUUAAUUUCCCAUUAGAUUUUUAUGUUUAUAUAGGAUUACAUUAGAUAUCAAAUGCAAUUUAUGAAUGAAUUUAAAUAGUUUUGUGUUUAAAAUGGAAUAAAGCAUAGCAGUAUCAUGUGGAGAAUCCAAAAAAACAUUAAUGUAAUAUAUAUUUUAUUGCUGUUAAAAUUGUAUAACUGUUUUGUAAUGAUUUGCUUCAAUAAAAAAAAUGAUAA